AUUGAACGCUGGCGGCAUGCCUUACACAUGCAAGUCGAACGGUAACAGGUUAAGCUGACGCGUGGCGAACGGGUGAGUAAUACAUCGUAACGGGGCCAGACGUGGGUGAUCGCUCGGAGAAAGCCGGAUCAAUACCGCAUAAGCCCUGAGGAGGAAAGCGGGGGACCGUAAGGCUUCGCGCGUUUGGAGCGGCCGAUGGCAGAUUGGGUAGUUGGUGGGGUAAAGGCUUACCAAGCCUACGAUCUGUAGCUGGUCUGAGAGGACGACCAGCCACACUGGGACUGAGACACGGCCCAGACUCCUCCGGGAGGCAGCAGUGGGGAAUUUUGGACAAUGUGCGCAAGCCUGAUCCAGCAAUGCCGCGUGCAGGAUGAAGGCCUUCGGCUUGUAGACUGCUUUUGUACGGAACGAAAAGGCGCCUACUAAUACUGGGUGUUGAUGACGGUACCGUAAGAAUAAGCACCAGCUAACUACGUGCCAGCAGCCGCCGCUGUAA
rnacentral:rRNA from 1 species